UGGAAUCUAGGCAGUUGCACAACCCUUUUAAUGUCAGUCUUGGAAUGAAGACUUUAUGCAUCACUAGCUGUGUGCAUGUAUAGUGAGGGGGAUACUGUUUCCCUUUCUGAGAAGAUAAUCGAUGACCCUCCAAGACUUGAGAGGAGUGACCUGAGUUUAGGAGAUAGUAGAACCCACCUAGAUCAUGGUCGUGCCAGCAAAUCCGUGUGAAUGCCACUGGAUUAAAAGAAGGAAGUUUAGUUGAAUGGUUACUACCCUCAUUCACAGGAGCAGUUAUCAGCACUUCCAUUGAGGCAACGGCAGUGGGAAAAGGAAGGCAAAUAUUUAUUCACCCAUCCAUAAACUCAUAAAAGAGUGAGCUGAUGAACUGAACACAAGUUUUGGUGUAAUCAACAAGCUGCCUGGAAUAUGCAUGAACUGCCCUAAUUUUAUGGAUGCCUUUACUUCUGAAAGCAUCUUC